rnacentral:rRNA from 1 species
CCUACGGGAGGCAGCAGUGGGGAAUCUUGCGCAAUGGGCGAAAGCCUGACGCAGCCAUGCCGCGUGAAUGAUGAAGGUCUUAGGAUUGUAAAAUUCUUUCAGCGGGGACGAUAAUGACGGUACCCGCAGAAGAAGCCCCGGCUAACUUCGUGCCAGCAGCCGCGGUAAUACGAAGGGGGCUAGCGUUGCUCGGAAUUACUGGGCGUAAAGGGAGCGUAGGCGGAUAGUUUAGUCAGAGGUGAAAGCCCAGGGCUCAACCUUGGAAAUGCCUUUGAUACUGGCUAUCUUGAGUAUGGGAGAGGUAAGCGGAAUUCCGAGUGUAGAGGUGAAAUUCGUAGAUAUUCGGAAGAACACCAGUGGCGAAGGCGGCUUACUGGCCCAUUACUGACGCUGAGGCUCGAAAGCGUGGGGAGCAAACAGGAUUAGAUACCCUGGUAGUCCACGCUGUAAACGAUGAGUGCUAGUUGUCGGCAUGCAUGCAUGUCGGUGACGCAGCUAACGCCUUAAGCACUCCGCCUGGGGAGUACGGUCGCAAGAUUAAAACUCAAAAGGAAUUGACGG